rnacentral:rRNA from 1 species
UACGGGGGGGGGCAAGCGUUGUUCGGAAUUACUGGGCGUAAAGGGCUCGUAGGUGGCCAACUAAGUCAGACGUGAAAUCCCUCGGCUUAACCGGGGAACUGCAUCUGAUACUGGAUGGCUUGAGAUUGGGAGAGGGAUGCGGAAUUCCAGGUGUAGCGGUGAAAUGCGUAGAUAUCUGGAGGAACACCGGUGGCGAAGGCGGCAUCCUGGACCAACACUGACACUGAGGAGCGAAAGCCAGGGGAGCAAACGGG